AGAGUUUGAUCAUGGCUCAGAUUGAACGCUGGCGGCAGGCCUAACACAUGCAAGUCGAGCGGUAGCACAGAGAGCUUGCUCUCGGGUGACGAGCGGCGGACGGGUGAGUAAUGUCUGGGAAACUGCCUGAUGGAGGGGGAUAACUACUGGAAACGGUAGCUAAUACCGCAUAAUGUCGCAAGACCAAAGUGGGGGACCUUCGGGCCUCAUGCCAUCAGAUGUGCCCAGAUGGGAUUAGCUAGUAGGUGGGGUAACGGCUCACCUAGGCGACGAUCCCUAGCUGGUCUGAGAGGAUGACCAGCCACACUGGAACUGAGACACGGUCCAGACUCCUACGGGAGGCAGCAGUGGGGAAUAUUGCACAAUGGGCGCAAGCCUGAUGCAGCCAUGCCGCGUGUGUGAAGAAGGCCUUCGGGUUGUAAAGCACUUUCAGCGGGGAGGAAGGCGNNNNNNNNNNCGAUUGACGUUACCCGCAGAAGAAGCACCGGCUAACUCCGUGCCAGCAGCCGCGGUAAUACGGAGGGUGCAAGCGUUAAUCGGAAUUACUGGGCGUAAAGCGCACGCAGGCGGUCUGUCAAGUCGGAUGUGAAAUCCCCGGGCUCAACCUGGGAACUGCAUUCGAAACUGGCAGGCUAGAGUCUUGUAGAGGGGGGUAGAAUUCCAGGUGUAGCGGUGAAAUGCGUAGAGAUCUGGAGGAAUACCGGUGGCGAAGGCGGCCCCCUGGACAAAGACUGACGCUCAGGUGCGAAAGCGUGGGGAGCAAACAGGAUUAGAUACCCUGGUAGUCCACGCCGUAAACGAUGUCGAUUUGGAGGUUGUGCCCUUGAGGCGUGGCUUCCGGAGCUAACGCGUUAAAUCGACCGCCUGGGGAGUACGGCCGCAAGGUUAAAACUCAAAUGAAUUGACGGGGGCCCGCACAAGCGGUGGAGCAUGUGGUUUAAUUCGAUGCAACGCGAAGAACCUUACCUGGUCUUGACAUCCACAGAACUUUCCAGAGAUGGAUUGGUGCCUUCGGGAACUGUGAGACAGGUGCUGCAUGGCUGUCGUCAGCUCGUGUUGUGAAAUGUUGGGUUAAGUCCCGCAACGAGCGCAACCCUUAUCCUUUGUUGCCAGCGGUCCGGCCGGGAACUCAAAGGAGACUGCCAGUGAUAAACUGGAGGAAGGUGGGGAUGACGUCAAGUCAUCAUGGCCCUUACGACCAGGGCUACACACGUGCUACAAUGGCAUAUACAAAGAGAAGCGACCUCGCGAGAGCAAGCGGACCUCAUAAAGUAUGUCGUAGUCCGGAUUGGAGUCUGCAACUCGACUCCAUGAAGUCGGAAUCGCUAGUAAUCGUAGAUCAGAAUGCUACGGUGAAUACGUUCCCGGGCCUUGUACACACCGCCCGUCACACCAUGGGAGUGGGUUGCAAAAGAAGUAGGUAGCUUAACCUUCGGGAGGGCGCUUACCACUUUGUGAUUCAUGACUGGGGUGAAGUCGUAACAAGGUAACCGUAGGGGAACCUGCGGUUGGAUCACCU
rnacentral:rRNA from 1 species